rnacentral:lncRNA from 1 species
ACAGAAGCUGUGGAAGGCGCCAUCCUGCCUGCCACAGGAAGGGCCUUGGACUGAGAGGACCGGAGCUGACUGGGGAUUAUUCAAAGCCAAAAGCCAACAGAGCCCCCAUGGAGAAGUGGAGGAUGCUCAGAUACUGCUAUGGAGCCCUGAGAAGUGAAAUGGGUCCAAGCCCUUGCCCAGGAUAGAGCGCUCCAAGCGCAUCCUCCGGGGACCCUUUUAAUCAGUGAAUUGUUCACCUCUCACUGUUUCUUCCCAGCAGAGCUAAGAGACUUCUAGAGCCUCUUGUGGAUGGUCAGCGAUAGCCCUGGUAUGACCAGGAGAUUGAACAUUUGAGCAAGACCAGAUGCCUUUAUAUCCAAUAGAUGCCACGGAGAGUAGAUCACAACACAUCUAACUGCUGUAUCCCCAUAUAAAAUAAUUUUAAUUUUCCUA